UACAGAGGGUGCGAGCGUUGUUCGGAAUUAUUGGGCGUAAAGGGCGCGUAGGCGGUCGGAUAAGUCUGAUGUGAAAUCUCACAGCUCAACUGUGAAACUGCAUUGGAUACUAUUCGGCUUGAGGUCUGGAGGGGGGACUGGAAUUCUCGGUGUAGCAGUGAAAUGCGUAGAUAUCAAGAGGAACACCAGUGGCGAAGGCGAGUCCCUGGACAACUUCUGACGCUGAGGCACGAAAGCUAGGGGAGCAAACAGG
rnacentral:rRNA from 1 species